UAGGGAAUAUUGCGCAAUGGGGGAAACCCUGACGCAGCGACGCCGCGUGAGUGAUGAAGGCCUUAGGGUCGUAAAGCUCUGUUGAAUGGGAAGAAACAAAUGACGGUACCAUUCGAGAAAGGACCGGCUAACUUCGUGCCAGCAGCCGCGGUAAGACGAGGGGUCCUAGCGUUGUUCGGAAUCAUUGGGCGUAAAGCGUGUGUAGGCGGCCAUUCAAGUCAGUUGUGAAAGCCCCGGGCUUAACCCGGGAAGUGCUUCUGAUACUGUUUGGCUUGAGUACUGGAGAGGAUAGUAGAAUUCCAGGUGUAGUGGUGAAAUACGUAGAUAUCUGGAGGAAUACCGGUGGCGAAGGCGGCUAUCUGGCCAUGUACUGACGCUGAGACACGAAAGCGUGGGGAGC
rnacentral:rRNA from 1 species